AUUGAACGCUGGCGGCAGGCCUAACACAUGCAAGUCGAGCGGAUGAGAGGAGCUUGCUCUUUGAUUUAGCGGCGGACGGGUGAGUAAUGCCUAGGAAUCUGCCUGGUAGUGGGGGACAACGUUUCGAAAGGAACGCUAAUACCGCAUACGUCCUACGGGAGAAAGUGGGGGAUCUUCGGACCUCACGCUAUCAGAUGAGCCUAGGUCGGAUUAGCUAGUUGGUGAGGUAAUGGCUCACCAAGGCGACGAUCCGUAACUGGUCUGAGAGGAUGAUCAGUCACACUGGAACUGAGACACGGUCCAGACUCCUACGGGAGGCAGCAGUGGGGAAUAUUGGACAAUGGGCGCAAGCCUGAUCCAGCCAUGCCGCGUGUGUGAAGAAGGUCUUCGGAUUGUAAAGCACUUUAAGUUGGGAGGAAGGUCAGUAGCUUAAUACGUUGCUGAUUUGACGUUACCGACAGAAUAAGCACCGGCUAACUCUGUGCCAGCCGCCGCCGUAACAC
rnacentral:rRNA from 1 species